UCCAGCAUCACACAGGAACUCUGGCAGAGGCAAGGAGAGAUUCCAGUUCUCCAGGGCAGCAUUUAACUGCCUUAACCAUGAUACCAUCAUUUCUCUUCCU